AAUUAGUGUUCUGUAUUAAGUUUGGUACCUACCUUGACCUUGUAGCCAUAUGAAAGCUCUAAUUCUGAUGAAGAGACAAUUUCUGUCUUGACCAUGUAGCUAUAUGAAAGCACCCUAAUUAUGAUCAAGAGACAAUUUCUAAAUAUUUGUUCCUAUUACUCGUUAUCCUUCUCAUUGAUGCUUACCUUGCAAGGCCAUAUCAUUCACAUUAUCAGCAGUGAAGUGAAAUUGAGAACUUACCGAGAUGCUGGUCACACCUGCAGAUCUUUGUACUGAUGUAGAGGUCUUGGUGUAUCUCCGUCGCCUCCUAGGACCUGAAUUCAUUGUGGGGUUCGCCUAUGGUUUUCCUUCACAGUUGGUUAAGCAUGAUGCAAUCUCAUCUGACUAGGAACAUUGGGAGAAGCAGGUCAUCUUGCAGAUUAUGAAUCUGUUUAUGUGAAGAAGCUGGGAUCUUCUAUUUCCAUUAACCUCAGCUCCAGGUUGUUGUGCUGAUUUCGAAUCUGUCUGGAGCCAGGUCCAUUGAUCUGUGUUCCUUAGCUCCUUUAUUCAUCAUCUCUUCCAAUUUUCUGGCAUUGUUAUUAUAUAUGUAUAUUAUGUGGUGGCAGAGCCACGCUUAAUUGCAAGGAGGUAGUGUCAACGUUAGUGAACUGUCCACAAACUUUCUGCAAAUCCAUGUUGAUAAGAGGGAGUUGGGUCUUUCCGUCUAUAAUCUGGAUAUUAGUGCACUGGUUAUGCAACUAUCGUGCCAACCUCAGAACUGGUGAAAAAUUGCGGUGAGGAAGGCUACUUUCAGCAAUGUGGCGGCCAUUGAAUUUUGCUAGAGUGCAACUAUGGUGGAUAGGUUGGCUACAUAGAAUGCAAUUUUGUCUUGAUUAAAGAACUAUACCUUAUCCCAUCUGGAGUAGAAAACCUGCUGCUCUGCUGAAUGCUUUUGUUUCCUUUUGUCGUAGUUAAGUCAACAGAAACAUCUAGAAGAUAAGAGUUGUCUUCAUUGUGAUGUGGCCAGAGGAGAGCGGGACCAGACCACUUGUUGCUGCUCAAGUAGGGAUGGAUGUAGAGUUGUUGGAAUAUGUGUUGUCAAGGGAGCAAUUGAAACUAGAUGGUUGCCGUACUGUAAUUCUCAAUUCCUAUUGAUAAUCUGCUCCUUUUUAUC